CAGUAGCCACGGUAAUACGGAGGGGGCUAGCGUUGUUCGGAAUUACUGGGCGUAAAGCGCACGUAGGCGGCUUUGUAAGUUAGAGGUGAAAGCCCGGAGCUCAACUCCGGAAUUGCCUUUAAGACUGCAGAGCUAGCAGGUGAGAGAGGUGAGUGGAAUUCCGAGUGUAGAGGUGAAAUUCGUAGAUAUUCGGAAGAACACCAGUGGCGAAGGCGGCUCACUGGCUCAUACUGGACGCUGAGGUGCGAAAGUGUGGGGAGCGAACAGGAUUAGAUACCCCCGUAGUCCCUGUCUCUUAUAC
rnacentral:rRNA from 1 species